rnacentral:sRNA from 1 species
UGACCACGCAGUGGUGCGGUAUGUAAUAC